GCACAACGCGAAGAACCUUACCUGGGCUUGACAUGCAUCUCUAAGCGCGUGAAAGCGCGUGACCCUUCGGGGGAUUUGCACAGGUGCUGCAUGGCCGUCGUCAGCUCGUGUCGUGAGAUGUUGGGUUAAGUCCCGCAACGAGCGCAACCCUUGUGUCCAGUUGCCAGCAUUUAAGGUGGGAACUCUGGACAGACUGCCCAGAUCAACUGGGAGGAAGGUGGGGACGACGUCAGGUCAGUAUGGCCCUUACGCCCAGGGCUGCACACGUACUACAAUGCCCAGUACAAUGAGAGCCGAAGCCGCGAGGUUGAGGAAAAUCUGUAAAACUGGGCCCAGUUCGGAUUGGAGGCUGCAACUCGCCUCCAUGAAGUCGGAAUCGCUAGUAAUCGUAGAUCAGAAUGCUACGGUGAAUACGUUCCCGGG
rnacentral:rRNA from 1 species